UACGGAGGGUGCGAGCGUUGUCCGGAAUCAUUGGGCGUAAAGAGCGUGUAGGCGGCCAUGCAGGUCCGUUGUGAAAACUCGAGGCUCAACCUCGAGACGCCGGUGGAAACCGUAUGGCUAGAGUCCGGAAGAGGAGAGUGGAAUUCCUGGUGUAGCGGUGAAAUGCGCAGAUAUCAGGAAGAACACCCGUGGCGAAGGCGGCUCUCUGGGACGUGACUGACGCUGAGACGCGAAAGCGUGGGGAGCAAACAGG
rnacentral:rRNA from 1 species